UCACAGGUGACGUUUUAAAUGAACGACGGGCGGAACCCGGCUUCCACAUCUUAUUUGGACGACGGGCGGAAUCCGGCUUCCACACUUCAUAUCCGGGGUUUCCCCAAAGGCAAAAUUAAGCCUGAUCACGCUCAGGUGGGGCAAAUUAACACAGCGGUUGCUAAUAGGCUAACGAGGAGAAGAGUCAGGGUAUAAAAACACCUUGCAGACAUCAAACGGGGUGGUUUUGUGGUAUACGUUGUGUACGUUGUGUUGCUGCUUUGCAGACGGACCACGCUGGUCGGAUCGCUCUCCUGGGGAAGAGAGUAAGAGACAGUCAGCGGACGAAGGGAUAGUGUGGAGUUUACGUGAGAAGGAGUGGACAUAGAGCCAUCGAGAGCACCGUGAACAGAGGUUAUUGGCAACCAAGCGUGAGUAACAGCUGUGAUACUUCUCUGCAAAUGUCUUGUAUGAAGAAUUACCCUGGUGUGUGUUCUUGUGUUUCGUGAGGUCCCUGGCCCCACUGGAGAGGAGAGCGUGGGUGAGCCGCGGUUGACCAGAAGCACGGACGAAGCACCGCCCGCCAGUAAACCAGUGGCCCUGUGGGAAAGAGGAAGUGCAGGUGAGCCAGGGAAGUGAUAACCGACACGCCGGGCCUGUGAAUACCAUACAUCUCUCCUUCCUUUGUGUGAUCCAGUUGUUGCCCAACCAAUCUCUCGAGGUCGUCGUGGUCAGGUGGCAAGGACGAUCUAAAAUUCACGUGACGUGGUAUAAGAGUGCUGUGGGUGAGUUUCACUGAUUGAUGGUGUUUACGCUUGACUUGCUGUGCGUAUGCUGUGCUUGUAGCGUUCGAACUGCCCAGCCUCCGACGAGACACGAGAUGGUGACAUCUGUUGCGGCCUGAAUCCUGUAGGGAGAGAGAGAAAAUCAAGCCUUGUGCCCGGGGUGUGACAACGAGAGCUUCGUCUACUACCUACCUGAACUAGUGAAGCUCCGUGUGGGAACGAGGAUCCCCCGGCACUGUGAGUAACGCAGCCUGUGAAAUAACCUGUUCUGUGCUUAUAGCAACAACCUACCUGAACCAGUGGAGCUCCGUGUGGGAACGAGGAUCCCCCGGCACUGUGAGUAACGCAACCUGUGAAAUAACCUGUUCUGUGCUUAUAGCAACAACCUACCUGAACCAGUGGAGCUCCGUGUGGGAACGAGGAUCCCCCGGCACUGUGAGUAACGCAGCCUGUGAAAUAACCUGUUCUGUGCUUAUAGCAACAACCUACCUGAACCAGUGGAGCCCCGUGUGGGAACGAGGAUCCCCCGGCACUGUGAGUAACGCAGCCUGUGAAAUAACCUGUUCUGUGCUUAUAGCAACAACCUACCUGAACCAGUGGAGCCCCGUGUGGGAACGAGGAUCCCCCGGCACUGUGAGUGACGCAGCCUGUGAAAUAACCUGUUCUGUGCUUAUAGCAACAACCUACCUGAACCAGUGGAGCUCCGUGUGGGAACGAGGAUCCCCCGGCACUCGACUACCUACCUGAACCAGUGGAGCUCUGUGUGGGAACGAGGAUCCCCCGGCACUCAACUACUUACCUGAACCAGUGAAGCUCCGUGUGGGAACGAGGAUCCCCCGGUGCUGCGAGCAUCAGUGGAGUGUUUGCCCUGGUCUGAUUGUGCCCGAUUCUGCCUCCAGGAGAAGCGGAGCGCGCCACGGGUUGCUGGGCCAGAGCCCCGGCCCCCAGUCUUUUCCCCAAGUGGCCCUGGAGGCAAAGAAGAGCCACUUUAGUUUUAAAGUUCCCUUUUUCCCUUCCCCCUUUCCCCUUUUAAAUAUUUAAUAAAGCUUGUUUUAAUUAUA